rnacentral:rRNA from 2 species
GCGAAGAACCUUACCAGGUCUUGACAUCCUCUGACAACCCUAGAGAUAGGGCUUCUCCUUCGGGAGCAGAGUGACAGGUGGUGCAUGGUUGUCGUCAGCUCGUGUCGUGAGAUGUUGGGUUAAGUCCCGCAACGAGCGCAACCCUUGAUCUUAGUUGCCAUCAUUUAGUUGGGCACUCUAAGGUGACUGCCGGUGACAAACCGGAGGAAGGUGGGGAUGACGUCAAAUCAUCAUGCCCCUUAUGACCUGGGCUACACACGUGCUACAAUGGACGGUACAAAGAGCUGCAAGACCGCGAGGUGGAGCUAAUCUCAUAAAACCGUUCUCAGUUCGGAUUGUAGGCUGCAACUCGCCUACAUGAAGCUGGAAUCGCUA